CAUCGUCGAUCUGCUGCGGGCAGAUGUAGUGGAUGUGACAGUCGAACCCCCCGGCGGUCAGGAUGCGUCCUUCGCCGGCAAUCGCCUCCGUCCCCGGUCCGAUGACGAUGUCGACGCCCGGCUGCGUGUCGGGGUUUCCCGCUUUGCCGAUGGCCGCGAUGCGCCCGUCGCGCAGGCCGACGUCGGCCUUGUAGAUGCCCGAGUGAUCCACGAUCAGCGCAUUGGUGAUGACCGUGUCCAUCGACCCUUCGGCGCGGGUGCGCUGCGACUGGCCCAUGCCGUCGCGGAUG
rnacentral:sRNA from 1 species